UACGGAGGGUGCAAGCGUUAUCCGGAUUUAUUGGGUUUAAAGGGUGCGCAGGCGGUAUAAUAAGUCAGUGGUGAAAACUUGCAGCUUAACUGUAAGACUGCCAUUGAAACUGUUGUACUUGAGUUAUCUUGAGGUAGGCGGAAUGUGUAGUGUAGCGGUGAAAUGCUUAGAUAUUACACAGAACACCGAUUGCGAAGGCAGCUUACUAAGGAUAUACUGACGCUCAGGCACGAAAGCGUGGGGAUCGAACAGGAUUAGAUACCCUGGUAGUCCACGCCGUAAACGAUGAUGACUCGCUGUUGGCGAUACACAGUCAGCGGCUUAGCGAAAGCGUUAAGUCAUCCACCUGGGGAGUACGCUCGCAAGAGUGAA
rnacentral:rRNA from 1 species